rnacentral:rRNA from 1 species
AACGAACGCUGGCGGCAGGCUUAACACAUGCAAGUCGAACGCCCCGCAAGGGGAGUGGCAGACGGGUGAGUAACGCGUGGGAACAUACCCUUUUCUACGGAAUAGCUCUGGGAAACUGGAAUUAAUACCGUAUACGCCCUACGGGGGAAAGAUUUAUCGGGGAAGGAUUGGCCCGCGUUGGAUUAGCUAGUUGGUGGGGUAAAGGCCUACCAAGGCGACGGUCCAUAGCUGGUCUGAGAGGAUGAUCAGCCACAUUGGGACUGAGACACGGCCCAAACUCCUACGGGAGGCAGCAGUGGGGAAUAUUGGACAAUGGGCGCAAGCCUGAUCCAGCCAUGCCGCGUGAGUGAUGAAGGCCUUAGGGUUGUAAAGCUCUUUCACCGAUGAAGAUAAUGACGGUAGUCGGAGAAGAAGCCCCGGCUAACUUCGUG